GAUGAACGCUAGCGGCAGGCCUAAUACAUGCAAGUCGAGGGGUAUGGGUUGCUUGCAACCCAGAGACCGGCGCACGGGUGCGUAACGCGUAUGCAAUCUACCUUAAUCAGGGGGAUAGCCCGGAGAAAUCCGGAUUAACACCGCAUAACAUUGAGUUGUGGCAUCACAGUUCAAUCAAAUAUUUAUAGGAUUAAGAUGAGCAUGCGUGACAUUAGUUAGUUGGUGAGGUAACGGCUCACCAAGACCACGAUGUCUAGGGGGUCUGAGAGGAUGACCCCCCACACUGGUACUGAGACACGGACCAGACUCCUACGGGAGGCAGCAGUAAGGAAUAUAGGUCAAUGGGCGCAAGCCUGAACCAGCCAUGCCGCGUGCAGGAAGACGGCCCUAUGGGUUGUAAACUGCUUUGGUACCGAAAUAAACCUUCUCUUGCGAGAGAAGCUGAACGUACGGUAAGAAUAAGGAUCGGCUAACUCCG
rnacentral:rRNA from 1 species